AACGCACAUUGCGCCUCUUGGUAUUCCGAGGGGCAUGUCUGUUUGAGCGUCAGUACACACCUCCACCGUGACUUUUCUCGGGUCGCGGCUGGGUUUUGGGGAGGGAAGGUCCGCCUUCACCGGCGCCUCCGCCCCUAAUGUGGCACGCUUGCGGGCCCCCGGCCAGAUGUUAACGUAGUAAAUUCUCCUCGUGAACAGCUGUCGAAGGGCCUCGCCUGAAAUCGAACUCUUAUGGUUUGACCUCAGAUCAGAUAAGGAUACCCGCUGAACUUAA
rnacentral:misc_RNA from 4 species